rnacentral:rRNA from 1 species
CCUACGGGUGGCUGCAGUGGGGAAUAUUGGACAAUGGGCGAAAGCCUGAUCCAGCCAUGCCGCGUGUGUGAAGAAGGCCUUCGGGUUGUAAAGCACUUUCAGUGGGGAAGAAAGCCUUGGGGCUAAUACCCUCGAGGAAGGACAUCACCCACAGAAGAAGCACCGGCUAACUCCGUGCCAGCAGCCGCGGUAAUACGGAGGGUGCGAGCGUUAAUCGGAAUUACUGGGCGUAAAGCGCGCGUAGGCGGUCUGAUAAGCCGGUUGUGAAAGCCCCGGGCUCAACCUGGGAACGGCAUCCGGAACUGUCAGGCUAGAGUGCAGGAGAGGAAGGUAGAAUUCGCGGUGUAGCGGUGAAAUGCGUAGAGAUCGGGAGGAAUACCAGUGGCGAAGGCGGCCUUCUGGACUGACACUGACGCUGAGGUGCGAAAGCGUGGGUAGCAAACAGGAUUAGAUACCCCGGUAGUC